UCCUCCUUCACCAUCUCCUCCCUCUACUUCCUCCCUCACCAUCUCCUCCUUCACCAUCUCCUCCCUCUACUUCCUCCUUUGCUGUCGCGCCAGUCGCCAGAACCCAAAGGAAGUGAUUCCCAGCCCACUCCAGUGACCAAUAGGGAGCUGCUGGGGUCCCAUCUAACAGCUGAUAGGCUGGGGGGCUCUGUCCAGGUGUUGAGUUCAACCAAUGGGGAGCUGAAUACAGACGACCCGACUGCGGGCCACUCCAAUGCACCCAUCACUGCCCCGGCCGAGGUGGAGGUGGCCGACGACACCAAGUGCUGCUGUUUCUUUAAGAGGAGGAAGAGGAAAGGCCUCCAGAGACACUAGUGAGGAAGAGGAAAGGCCUCCAGAGACACUAGUGAGGAAGAGGAAAGGCCUCCAGAGACACUAGUGAGGAAAAGGAAAGGCCUCCAGAGACACUAGUGAAGAAGAGGAAAGGCCUCCAGAGACACUAGUGAAGAAGAGGAAAGGCCUCCAGAGACACUAGUGAAGAAGAGGGAAGGCCUCCAGAGACACUAGUGAAGAAGAGGGAAGGCCUCCAGAGACACUAGUGAAGAAGAGGGAAGGCCUCCAGAGACACUAGUGAAGAAGAGGAAAGGCCUCCAGAGACACUAGUGAAGAAGAGGAAAGGCCUCCAGAGACACUAGUGAAGAAGAGGAAAGGCCUCCAGAGACACUAGUGAAGAAGAGGAAAGGCCUCCAGAGACACUAGUGAGGAAGAGGAAAGGCCUCCAGAGACACUAGUGAAGAAGAGGAAAGGCCUCCAGAGACACUAGUGAAGAAGAGGAAAGGCCUCCAGAGACACUAGUGAAGAAGAGGAAAGGCCUGGGAGACACUAGUGAAGAAGAGGAAAGGCCUCCAGAGACACUAGUGAAGAAGAGGAAAGGCCUCCAGAGACACUAGUGAAGAAGAGGAAAGGCCUCCAGAGACACUAGUGAAGAAGAGGAAAGGCCUGGGAGACACUAGUGAAGAAGAGGAAAGGCCUCCAGAGACACUAGUGAGGAAGAGGAAAGGCCUCCAGAGACACUAGUGAGGAAAAGGAAAGGCCUCCAGAGACACUAGUGAAGAAGAGGAAAGGCCUCCAGAGACACUAGUGAGGAAGAGGAAAGGCCUCCAGAGACACUAGUGAGGAAAAGGAAAGGCCUCCAGAGACACUAGUGAAGAAGAGGAAAGGCCUCCAGAGACACUAGUGAAGAAGAGGAAAGGCCUCCAGAGACACUAGUGAAGAAGAGGGAAGGCCUCCAGAGACACUAGUGAAGAAGAGGAAAGGCCUCCAGAGACACUAGUGAAGAAGAGGAAAGGCCUCCAGAGACACUAGUGAGGAAGAGGAAAGGCCUCCAGAGACACUAGUGAAGAAGAGGAAAGGCCUCCAGAGACACUAGUGAAGAAGAGGAAAGGCCUCCAGAGACACUAGUGAAGAAGAGGAAAGGCCUCCAGAGACACUAGUGAAGAAGAGGAAAGGCCUCCAGAGACACUAGUGAAGAAGAGGAAAGGCCUCCAGAGACACUAGUGAAGAAGAGGAAAGGCCUCCAGAGACACUAGUGAAGAAGAGGAAAGGCCUGGGAGACACUAGUGAAGAAGAGGAAAGGCCUCCAGAGACACUAGUGAAGAAGAGGAAAGGCCUCCAGAGACACUAGUGAAGAAGAGGAAAGGCCUCCAGAGACACUAGUGAGGAAGAG